CUGGAUUCCCACCCGACUGCUUGAGUGUGUCUAUGCAGAACAUGCUGCUGUGUAUAAAUGAAGUUGGUAGGUGAGGGCAGUUUCUAAUUAAUUCAUUAAUGGAUAGGUUUGCAAGAGAAGAAAAGAUUAAGGGUAGAGUGGAUGGAGUAGGGAAUCCCAUCCCUCCCCCCCCCACCCAGUUUUUAAGUAGCUGAACCUUUAUUGUGUGUGGAGGUAAAUAUCUGGCUCUUUUGAGAUGUGGGUAGAUGGUUUAGUCUGUCCAUUUCUAGAGAGACCAUUAAAAGUGGCAUUUUUGUUUCUUGUAUUUUUGGAGUCUUCUAGAAUAUACCCUCCUUUGUUUUAGUGGGAAACUUAAUGGAAUGGUGAUACUCUUCACUCACCUUUCUACAGAGAAUCAGUAAGAAAUACAGUUGUGAGAGAGUGUAAAAAAAAAGAUUAAAAAAUUUAAAUUUAGUUACUUGUAUGUGAAGAAUAUGUCUUUUUUUAAAAUAUUUUAUUUAUUUGUUCAUGAGAGACACAGAGAGAGAGAGAGAGAGGCAGAGACACAGGCAGAGGGAGAAGCAGGCUCCAUGCAGGGAGCCCGACGUGGGACUCGAUCCCGGGACCCCAGGAUCACACCCUGGGCUGAAGGCAGGCGCUAAACCACUGAGCCACCCGGGCUGCCGAAGAACAUCUGUCUUAAAUAUCAUAAGUGCUUAUUUUCUUACAGAUACUUAAACUUGUGCCUGCUUGAAAUAUGGAAAUUGCAAUUCUGUAGAGUUGACCAGUAGGAACCGAUGAAACAUGGCAGAGAAAGCAUCACUUUGGUUCUCACUAGAAAGACUACAAGCUAGAUCAAGACAGCGUCCACAAGAAUUAGAGGAAGCCGUAUGGAGAACAUAGACCUGGAAGUGAACAUUUUUUCUGGUGAGAGGAAAGAGGCUCCGCUUGCGAGGGAUUGGCUAAGGGCUUUGCCCAGCUCUCUUUGGGUCCUGGCCAAGCUGGGCAUGGAGCCUGGACCCUCACACCUUCACAGGCCCCUUUGC
rnacentral:lncRNA from 1 species